GCCGACGAACAUUUACAGCGUUUAAAAAUUAAGGAUGAAAAUAUAAUUUACCACAAUUACAGCGUCUAGAAAACGCCUGUGAUGGUGAAUCGUCACUGGACCUGUCACCGAGUUGUCUAGGAUCUGCUGACUGGUUGACUCUCUCAGGCUGAAGUGCUACUUGCCUAGAAUCGCUCUUCUUCUCCCCAAGAGUAGUGGUCUUAUCACCACUGAAACAUUGAUCUAAUCGAAAAUGGCUUCCAUCUCGCUAUAUUCUCCGCCGUACAGUUCAUGUAAACGUGACGUCGUUUCACUUCCAAGGAAGCAUUUAUGUCCCGCCACUUUCAAAACUAGCUUCUUUGGCUCCAACUUCCCAGUGAAACCACUUUCGAUCUCAAAUCAAAAUACCUCAAAACUCCGACCUAAAACUGUUACCUCAGCUUCUACUCACACCUUCGAUGUCGUGAUCAUUGGUGCCGGAAUCGUCGGGUUAACUAUUGCCCGGCAGUUCCUGAUAGGAUCGGACCUAUCUGUCGCUGUCGUCGAUAAAGCCGUCCCUUGUUCUGGCGCCACCGGUGCAGGGCAGGGCUACAUAUGGAUGGUGCACAAGUCACCGGAGAGCGACACAUGGGAGCUCACAAAGAGAAGUCACAAACUGUGGGAAAUGCUUGCCGAGGGCAUCUCUUAUCAGGGCUUGAGUCCAUUAGAGGUGUUGGGAUGGAAGAAAACCGGAAGUUUGUUAGUGGGUAGAAACCCUGAAGAGGCUGAGAGUUUGAAAAGGAGGGUGAAGCAGCUCUCUGAAGCUGGACUAAGAGCAGAGUAUUUGUCCUCUCAUGAUUUGCAUUUGGAGGAACCUGCACUAGAGAUUGGGGAAAGUGGUGGCGCUGCCUUUCUUCCCGAUGAUUGUCAAUUGGAUGCUCAUCGGGCUGUUGCCUUUAUUGAAAAGAUUAAUAGACAGUUUGCAUCAAAAGGGAGAUAUGCAGAGUUCUAUCAUGAUCCUGUGAUGAGUUUGUUGAGAUCUUCUACCAACGGAGAGGUUGAAGCUGUUCGGACUUCCAAGAAUACCUUGUACAGUAGGAAGGCCAUUAUAGUUGCAGCUGGUUGUUGGAGUGGGUCUCUGAUGCAUGACCUGUUUAGAGAAUCUGAUACUGCUUUAAAUGUUCCUGUUAAACCUCGGAAGGGUUACUUGCUUGUGCUUGAGAACUUUAGUUCCCUUAAAUUGAAUCAUGGCGUGAUGGAGGCAGGUUAUGUUAAUCACUAUGGUGCAGGUAAGCAACUCUCGAAUUCAGCAUCAGGACUGGAUCAUGGGGAAAAUCUGUCCGUUUCAAUGACAGCUACAAUGGACUCAAUGGGAAAUCUUGUUCUUGGGAGCAGCCGUCAGUUUUUGGAUUUUAAUACUGAAGUGGAUGAAUCUAUUGUUGGUUAUAUAUGGAACCGGGCUGGAGAGUUCUUUCCCAAACUAAAAGAGAUGUCCCUAAGAGAUUUCACCAUGAGCCGAAAGCUGAGAAUAGGCUUGCGCCCUUACAUGCCUGAUGGGAAGCCGGUGAUUGGGCCUUUGCCUGAUUUCAAGAAUGUCCUCAUUGCAACUGGGCAUGAAGGUGGAGGACUUUCUAUGGCUUUGGGUACUGCUGAAAUGGUUGCUGAUAUGGUUUUGGGCAAUCCUGGGACUGUUGACUAUACACCAUUUGCUGUUCAGGAUAGAUGUUGUUGAUAAAUUGUGUGCCAAUGAAGAGAUCAGAAGAUUGACACGUUUUCAGGGUUGCUGGUUCUCAGGGAAAUUUUAGGUCACAGGGAAUAAAGUUUUACUACUGUAGUUGCUGGCAAAUUGGGUCAGUGGAGGAAUUGGAUUAUUGGUGCUAGUUUAGGCUAUCAUUAACAAGUUCAACAGAAGUCUGUGAAGGAUGGGGAAACCUGUAAACAUCGAAUUCGUGCUGGAUUUACUCCUGCAAGCAUUUGAUGUCCAAACUCUUCAUCAUCCCUCCAGGCUAAGUCGUCCUCUGGAAAAUAUAUGCAAGCUUAGUUUAUAAAUGUUAAAAACAAAUAAAUGAAACAUCCAUGUUUUUUAGACUAUAAAUUGUAAGAGCAGGUUGCAAGCUGCAUCACCUGUUAUAAUUUGAGGCAAUGGGAAUUUUAUGGACUGUUUGCUUGCAUGAAUAAUAUCUUUAAAAAGCUCAUCUGUUACCAUUUUCUUCAGUUUAUCUUUGACUGUUUCCUCUAUUUGAUAUCUCUUUCUAGAGAACAGGUUACUUAUCUCCUCAAAUGACUUGAAACUACUUGAUCCUUGUUUGAGUAAGGAAUUUGCUUCAGGAAUAAGGAAAUGUACUGCAGCCUGGACUGAAUUUGAUAUGAACUCUGAAAGCUUUUUGGGGCCUAAUCGCUCAUCUGGAGGAACAUAUGUAUCCAGGUUGAUAAUUUCUGGCCGACUCUUGGUAGAAGGAUCUAUAACAAAGUGAUAGCAUAUGAAAUUGUGAAAGUCAUGCAGUGAAAUAGAAUUGCAAAAAGAAAGAAGAAUGGGGGAGGGGGAUAUCUUUUCACCUCCCCAGAUAGAACCGAGUUAUAAAGUUAGAUACCAGUGCUGCUGAUAGGAAGACCUGUUCUUCCCCUUCUAGGAUAUGGAUGUGAUUCAGAGCCACCCAAUAUUGGUCUACUGUGCUUUUGAUCUUUAUCUGGACGACCAAGAUUAUUGUAGUAAUCAUAAUCGUAGAUUCGAUCCCAUUCCUUCCUCUCUCCAGUUCCGUCUCCUCUCAGGCUUUUAAGUUCUGACUUUCUUAGUUCCAGCAAAGCACUGGGUGUUUGUUUUGGCAGAUAACUCUACCAGCAGAACAAGCUUAUGGUAUUUAGUUGCUUUUUAAUGUAGAACUAUAGCAUUUAAAUGUUCUGUUUUUUGUUCAACUUACGGUGUUUGAGAAGAACAGGCGAUCCGAUUUUGUAUUCUGGACUGGGUAUACCCAAGACCUGCAGUCAAAGUGGAUGAUAUGAUUGUCUAGAACUUCAAGCGUAGCAGAUUCAAGGAAGAACUCAUGUUUAUGAUGGUUAGUUAUGAGAAAUGCUCCUGGAAUUCCAAACUCUCGCUCAGUGUAGAGCUUUAUUUUAUAUGUUAUUGUUUUCAUGUCAUCGUUCUUCUUGCUCUUUCCAUGCUUGAGGUGGGCUUUCUGGCUCAACUUCCCUUUGCCUGUGCCUGUCAGGAACAAUGCCAACUAUGAGAUCAGCAAGACUUCGAUGUAUCCUUACUUGGGUGAUAGAAAAUUUACAGUUCUUUCAGAAACUCUCAAGUUAGUUGCUCUGCUUAAAUAUUACAUAGAUGAUAUAACUUCUGAGGGUGAUAGAAAAUGAUACAAGUCAAAAUUCCUGAACUUAUGAUUGUGCAACUUACUUGGGUCGAUUGCAUUGCUGCUAUAAAUCUGUACAGAUGCUGAUUUUUCAGGACCUGAUUUCCCUUGAGUUUGAAGAAUGACAAAGUUUCCCUUGAUAAGAGUCUGCUGAUUUGUAAUCUUGCUCUGGAUGGCUCUCAUGUAUGCUUGCAGGCUGGAGCAUGAGCCGUGGGUUCCCAUGAUUAUUUCUUUUCCCUUUUCUUAGCUACGCUCAAUCUCUAAUCCCAGAAAAGAUUCUUGUAUGAAACCUGAAGGAUUUGGUGGAGUGAAAUUUUGGUAAUGGGAAUUGAUAACUUGGGAAAUUUAAGUGC